CAAUAGCGUAUAUUAAAGUUGUUGCGGUAAAAAAGCUCGUAGUUGGAUUUCUACCGAAGAUAGCCGGUCGGGUCUUCGACCUUGUAUCUGGUUUUGUCUUUGGUAUCCUCAUAGGGAACGUUUCUGCGCUUUAUUGCGUGGUGCGGUAUCUAUGACUUUUACUUUGAGGAAAUCAGAGUGUUCACGGCAGGCAAACGCCUUGAAUAUAUUAGCAUGGAAUAAUAACAUAGGAUCUUCGUCCUAUUUUGUUGGUUUCUAGGGCUAAGAUAAUGAUUAAUAGGGAUAAUUGGGGGCAUCUGUAUCAACGCGUCAGAGGUGGAAUUCUUGGAUUGCGUUGCGACAAACUACUGCGAAAGCAUUUGCCAAGGAUGUUUUCAUUGA
rnacentral:rRNA from 1 species